AACAGAACUGUGGGGACAUUUGUGGAAAGCACAGGCGCGGAACGGAAAGCCGCGUGCAAGCGAAGGAGGAGUCACAUAGGAAAAACCGUGUGGCAAUCCAAAGGCGUGAUGCGGACCGAAUGAAAGUAGGGAAGUGUGUGAGCCAUGAAUCAAGAAAAGCCGCUAUUGUUUUUAAGAUACCCGUACCGUANACCGACACAGGUGGAUGAGGAGAGAAUCCUAAGGCCGGCGGAAGAAGCAUUGUUAAGGAACUCGGCAAAAUGACCCCGUAACUUCGGGAGAAGGGGUGCCAACGAGAGUUGGCCGCAGAGAAUAGGCUCAAGCAACUGUUUAGCAAAAACACAGGUCUAUGCAAAACCGUAAGGUGAGGUAUAUGGGCUGACGCCUGCCCGGUGCUGGAAGGUUAAGAAGAGAGGUUAGCGCAAGCGAAGCUUUGAAUUUAAGCCCCAGUAAACGGCGGCCGUAACUAUAACGGUCCUAAGGUAGCGAAAUUCCUUGUCGGGUAAGUUCCGACCCGCACGAAAGGCGUAAUGAUUUGAGCGCUGUCUCGACAAUGCAUCCGGUGAAAUUGAAGUACCAGUGAAGAUGCUGGUUACCCGCGCCAGGACGGAAAGACCCCAUGGAGCUUUACUCCAGUUUGGUACUGGGGUCCGGCAGUGCAUGUACAGGAUAGGUGGGAGGCUGUGAACCUGGAACGCCAGUUUCAGGGGAGCCGGUGUUGGGAUACCACCCUUGUGCUGCUGGGCUUCUAACCAGCGGCCUUUAUCAGGCCGGGGGACAAUGCCAGACGGGGAGUUUGACUGGGGCGGUCGCCUCCGAAAGGGUAUCGGAGGCGCUCAAAGGUUCCCUCAGAAUGGUCGGAAACCAUUCGAAGAGUGCAAAGGCAGAAGGGAGCUUGACUGCGACACCGACGGGUGGAGCAGGUACGAAAGUAGGACUUAGUGAUCCGGUGGUAUUAAGUGGGAAAGCCAUCGCUCAACGGAUAAAAGCUACCCUGGGGAUAACAGGCUUAUCACUCCCAAGAGUUCACAUCGACGGAGUGGUUUGGCACCUCGAUGUCGGCUCAUCGCAUCCNGGGGCUGUAGUAGGUCCCAAGGGUUGGGCUGUUCGCCCAUUAAAGCGGUACGCGAGCUGGGUUCAGAACGUCGUGAGACAGUUCGGUCCCUAUCCGGCGUGGGCGUAGGAUAUUUGAGAGGAGCUGUCCUUAGUACGAGAGGACCGGGAUGGACUGACCUCUGGUGUACCGGUUGAACCGCCAGGUUCACGGCCGGGUAGCCAAGUCGGGAAGGGAUAAACGCUGAAGGCAUCUAAGCGUGAAGCCCCCCUCAAGAUGAGAUAUCCCAUUCUUUAAGAAGUAAGACCCCUUGAAGACGACGAGGUAGAUAGGGCAGAGGUGGUACAGCCGUAAGGCAUGGAGCUGACUGUUACUAAU
rnacentral:rRNA from 1 species